UUUUGCACCUGUCCCAUGUCAGGAGCCUCUGGCCUUUGUUAGUCUUGUAUUAUUUUUAACUUUAGUUUUUUGUGUUUAACUUGUUUAGUAUGAUGUCCAUUAUCACUGAACUAGUAUAUAUAUAUAUAUAUAUAUAUGUUUAGGGGCAAGCUGAAGGACGCCUCUGGGUGCGGGAGUUUCUCGCUGCAUUGAAGACCUAUUGGUGAUCUUCUGCUGUUGUCUGUUCUAUGGUCGGGUUGU
rnacentral:lncRNA from 1 species